rnacentral:miRNA from 1 species
GUGUGUGUAUAUAAAGCAGUGUGUUUGUGGAGUGUGCAUUAUAUAAACACACUGCACAAACACACUGCAUUAUAUACACACUAC